UACGUAGGGUGCAAGCGUUAAUCGGAAUUACUGGGCGUAAAGCGUGCGCAGGCGGCUUUGCAAGACAGAUGUGAAAUCCCCGGGCUUAACCUGGGAACUGCAUUUGUGACUGCAUGGCUGGAGUGUGGCAGAGGGGGAUGGAAUUCCGCGUGUAGCAGUGAAAUGCGUAGAUAUGCGGAGGAACACCGAUGGCGAAGGCAAUCCCCUGGGCCUGCACUGACGCUCAUGCACGAAAGCGUAGGGAGCAAACAGG
rnacentral:rRNA from 1 species